rnacentral:lncRNA from 1 species
AUUUCUUUAACUUCAUGAAUCAAAAGAACUUUUUUUUUUUUGAGAAAGCAAGUAACCUUGUUUGUCUUUUUUUUUAUCAAGAAAGAAAGAUAACUAACAUUAACUGCUACUUACAUUUGCAGGUUUGGAAUCUGAUUCCCAAGGCAGCAGGUAAGAAAAGGAGUGAUACAAGGAGGGGAGGAAGCAAAGGCUGGGCUUGGG